UUUCUCUUCUCUUUUUCUGGAAGUGACUAUCAUCCCCUUCCUCCGAAUUAAAAUUUCCAUUAAAAAAACCCUCAAAUGCACAAACUUCCUCACCGUUAAACAAUUACUAUAUGACUCUAUCACGCCUACAUAAUCCCUUAUUCUUGUAACCAAACGCCUCCUUCUCUCUUUCCCACCCCGUCUUUCGUUUCUCGGUCUCUUACCACAAAAACCUAAAGAAGUAGUAUUAUUCUUUUUGAUCCUCUACACCCUUCUCUCUUUUCACCAUUUAUGAAUUUCUCCCCAAUCUUUUCUUUACAUUUGCUAUUUCGUGCUUCUUUGCCUUUCUUUUUGAUUCUCCAACACUUCCCAAUUUCCAGGAUCGGUGCAAUUUCUAUUUAGGGUUUUGAAUAAUCUCACCGCCCCAUUGCUUCCUUUUUCUUUACCCUCUAGCGCUUCCUUCUCCCUUUUCUCUUUUCCUGUUUCAUUUUUUUGAAUUUCUAGGAUUUUCUUAUCCAUUUCUUUAGAUUUUCUUAAUCGACUAGAAAAAAAGAAAAAAUAACCUGCAUAUUUUUUUUCAUCAUUUUACCUGGGAAAUUAAUUGGAAUAUCCCCUUCAUUUUGGCAGUAUUUACUGCACUUGCCAUAUUAUUACUUCAGAAACGUUAAAUACAAUCUAGGGUUCUAACCUGAUUAAUUAAAAAAAUUAAAACUAAUUUCAAAGUUCCUUUCUUUUUUUCAAGUCAAUAGUUUUACCAACAAACCGUACAUAUUGAAAAACAAUCCAUUUUUUUCGGAUUAGUUUUUUUUUUAUUUUUCUUAAUUUGAAAUAUAUUUUCUUUGUUUUUGGUUGCGCUGUGGCUUCUGGGAGAGUUGAGAAGGUUUUUAGGGAGGAAAAGUGGUUUAGGAUUGCAUGGGAGAGCAUGAAGGGUGGGCGGCGCAGAGGCCACCGAGCGGCCUAUUGCCGAACGGUUUGUUACCGAACGAAGCCUCCUCGGUGGUUCAGAUAAUUGACUCGGAACGAUGGAUGAAGGCUGAGGAAAGAACCGCUGACCUCAUUGCCUGCAUUCAGCCUGAUGCACCCUCGGAAGGUCUCCGCAAUGCCGUUGCUGAUUAUGUCCAGCGUCUCAUCUCCAAAUGCUUCCCUUGUCAGGUGUUUACUUUUGGGUCUGUGCCCCUCAAGACAUAUUUGCCUGAUGGGGAUAUUGACUUAACGGCCUUUAGUAAGAAGCAAAAUUUGAAGGAUUCAUGGGCUUAUCAGGUUCGGGAUAUGCUGGAAAAUGAAGAAGAAAAUGAGAAUGCUGAAUUCCGAGUAAAAGAAGUUCAGUACAUUCAGGCUGAGGUGAAGAUAAUAAAAUGUCUUGUAGAAAAUAUUGUGGUAGACAUUUCAUUUAAUCAGCUUGGUGGAUUAUGUACCCUUUGUUUCCUUGAAGAGGUUGAUCGUUUGAUAAAUCAGAACCAUUUGUUCAAACGUAGCAUCAUAUUGAUAAAAGCAUGGUGUUAUUAUGAGAGCCGUAUAUUGGGUGCUCAUCAUGGACUUAUCUCAACUUACGCCCUGGAAACCUUGGUUCUUUACAUAUUCCAUGUUUUCAAUAAGUCAUUUUCUGGACCACUUGAGGUCCUGUUUCGGUUUCUUGAGUUCUUUAGCAAGUUUGAUUGGGAAAAUUUUUGUGUUAGCCUCUGGGGUCCCGUUCCAAUUAGUUCACUGCCGGACAUAACAGCGGAACCUCCUCGACAAGAUGGUGGAGAGUUGUUACUUUGCAAGUAUUUUCUUGAUACUUGCAGUUCAAGAUAUGCUGUUUGCCAAGAAAAUCAGGGCCAACCCUUUGUUUGUAAACAUUUCAAUGUGAUUGAUCCUUUGCGUAUAAAUAACAAUCUUGGACGUAGUGUUAGCAAAGGUAAUUUCUUUAGGAUACGCAGUGCAUUUGCAUUUGGGGCCAAAAAGUUGGAAAGAUUACUUGAUUGUCCCAAAGAGGACCUGUAUUAUGAAGUAAAUCAAUUCUUUAUGAAUACAUGGGAAAGGCAUGGCAGUGGCCAACGCCCUGAUGCACCUAGGAAUGAUCUGUGGUGCUUGAGAUUGUCAAAUUCAGAUCACACUCAUGGAUCCAAGAAUGCCGGGAACAAUUCAAGCAGCAAAGGAAAUGAUAUCUCUUCAGGGCAUGAAACUCAAGCUGAAGGAGCUCAAGGAUCAUUUGGUGUGUCUUCACAGCAUGUUAAUUAUCCAUCGGAAAACACAACUAAGAUUAGUGAUGUAUCUACUGUUUCUCGUACUCAAUGCCAAAAGAGUUAUGGUAGCAUUAGCAACUCAAAGACCUCUGAUCAGGUUAUACGUGAUUCUAAUUCCAAUCAGAAUGCGCAUAAUGAUGCAGGUCAGAGAAUUUCUAAAGUAGAGAAUUUGGUGACUGAUGUUCAAGGAAGAUAUCUUUUUGCAAGGACACGUUCUAGUCCUGAGCUUACUGAAACGUAUGGGGAAGUUACUUCUCGAGGAAGGCGGAAUGGAAUGCCAGAGAGUGGGAAAACCCAUAUUGCUUCUAUGAGGUCAGAUAAUAACAGGAGGAAGAAUAUGGAAUCUGAUAUGACGGCAGGCCGAAAUGUUAAAACUUCACCUAUUAGGCAUGCUUCAACCCGUCAAAGCAUUGAUGCUGCUGCUGAUCCAAACAGUCUUCUAAAUACUUACCAAGAUGAUUUAGGCUUGGGAACUAUGGGUCAGAACUUUUCUUCAAUUCCAGGUGCACAAGCAAUGCAUCAAGAAGAGCAAGAUCUAGUGAACAUGAUGGCUUCUUUUACAGCUUAUGGCUUUAAUGGUCAGGUUCCUGUUCCACUAAAUUUAGCUGCAGGUCACUUACCUUUUCCUAUCCAAUCUCUAUCAAUGGGAUACAAUCAGAGAAAUUUGGGCAGAAUUGUACCGACAAAUAUUCAAAUGUUUCCACAAGGAUUGGUCUCUUCUCCUUUGGCCCAUUAUUUUUCUGGCAUUGGGUUAUCCUCAAAUGCAGAGGAUCCAAUUGAGCCCGGCAGUGAAAAUUUUGGUUCCUUAGAAAUGAACCCAGAGGAAAUGGAACAUGAGCUAUGGCAUGAACAAGAUAGGGGCUCUAGUGGUGGCUUUGAUCUGGAUAAUGGAAGUUUUGAAAUGCUUCAGCCAGAUGAUAAGCAACAGUCAACUUUAGCUGGCUAUAAUUUUGUCGCUUCAUCUAGGGUAGGCAGCUCUGGUAGUUCUACUGAAGUCCAACCGAAAUUUACUAAAGAAACUCGGGGAUCAAGUUGGGAAGAUCAUGUAGAUGUUUGCCAAUAUCAAGAUAACAGAGGUAAUGAUGUCUACUUUAAUGAAAGAACUGCAAGUUCUAGAUCCAUGCCUGCUUCUCAUACUAGUUCACACAGAAGUAAAACCUCCUCAGAGAGUUCUUGGGAAGGGUCUUCAGCAAAGGUCUCUAAGCCAGCUAGGGAGAAGCCGGGUAGGAAAACAGCUGCUUCUGUGCUUUCUUCUACUGCAUGUGGGAAAGGUAAGAAUGUAUCUGAACAUUCCUCUCUGGAAGAUGACAAUGGUAGAGACUGGAAUCCACCAUCAAUAGUGGGCAAUGAAAUGGCAGAAAGAACUACUGGACCUCAACCAAUUGGUUCUUUGCCUGUUUCAAGAAUGCCUGGAUUUGAGGCAGCUCAGACAAGUGGCUCGGAUCCACUGAUACCAAUUGCUCCAUUCCUUUUAGGUCCAGGUUCAGGGCAAAGAACUAUUGAUAAUUCUGGAGUUCCUCCCUUGGCAUUCACGAUAACAGGGCCACCAGUUCCCUUUUUGUUGUGCCCUGUGUACAACAUUCCAGCUGAAACUGGAACUCCAGAUGCAUCAACAAGCCCUUUUAGUUGGGAUGAAGGUUCGGAUAACAAUGAUUCUGGUCAAAAUUUUGAAUCAUCCGAGGGAUUUGAUCGGUCUGAGGUGUUAAAUACUUCUAGUUCUACAACAAAGGUUACAUCUCUUGAGCCAUUGGAGCGUAAAUCUGACAUUCUUAAUGGUGACAUUGCUAGCCACUGGCAAAACUUGCAGUAUGGACGGUUUUGCCAAAAUUCACGAUAUCCUCGACCUCUGAUUUAUCCUUCUCCUGUUGUGGUGCCAUCUGUCUAUUUACAAGGUCAUUCUGCAUGGGAUGGUCCCGGGGACCCUCUUUCAUCCAACUUGAACCUCUUUUCUCAACUUAUGAAUUAUGGGCCUCGUAAUGUUCCUGUUACUCCACACCAAUCUGUUUCAAAUGGACCUGCCAGUGUAUACCAACGGUAUGUUGAUGAAAUGCCAAGAUAUCGCACUGGUACUGGGACAUACCUGCCAAACCCUAAAGUUUCAUCGAGAGAACGCCAUUCUGCAAAUAUGAGGAGGGGAAAAUACAAUUAUGAUAGAAAUGACCACCAUGGCAAUAGGGAAGGGAGCUGGAAUGCCAAUUCAAAGUCGCGAGCUGCUGGGCGCAGCCAUAGUCGCCAUCAAAAUGAAAAAUCAAGGUUAACAUUUGACCAAUUGGCAGCUGUUGCUGGUGAGAGCAGAGCUGAGAGGCCUUGGUUAUCACAUAGACAUGAUUCAUUUACUUCAUCCCAGUCUCAUAAUGAACCAGUCCCCUCAAGCUGUUCGCAAAAUAGUUCUGCCAGCACGUCAUAUGGCAUUUACCCACUGCCAGCCAUGAACCCUAACGGGUUGUCAUCUAAUGGACCUACCAUUCCGUCUGUUGUCAUGCUGUAUCCCUAUGAUCAUAAUUCUGGUUAUGGUUCCCCUGCUGAACAGCUUGAGUUUGGCUCUCUUGGACCAGUGGGUUUGUCAGGCAUGAAUGAAGUAUCACAGCUAAGUGAUGGAAGCAGCUCAGGUGGGGUAUUUGAGGAGCAAAGGUUUCAUGGUACCUCUGCUCAACAUUCUUCACCAGACCAGCCGCCUUCACCCCACCUGCAAAGUAAUUUCUAUGACCCAACUUGAAUGAGCUGUGUGGAAAUUGCUGCCUGCUCCCCCAUCAUCCCACCCUGACAUAACCUUCUGCUGGUGAUUCUCACAUUUCUGGGGAUUUUGAUUUUAUUGCCAGUUCAGUGGCUAAGAAGAAUCACAAUUGAAAGAUGAGGAUUCUCCAUCCCAUGCUUUUCCAUCUGAGGGAAGAAGAAAUGAUGGUGGGAGAACCUAUAAUGAGAAACCCUCCCCUUACCAGGCGUUUUUGUUCUCAUCAUCUUACUCAUGAAAGCAGGAAUUGGGUUUUCUGAUUCUAUGAUUCUUAAUGGUUUUCUCACAAGAUGGCCACCCAUGCUUCUUGGCUUGUGCUUGUAUGUACACUAUGAAUAAUGGUGAAAGGAAAACAGGAGUUAG